UACAGAGGUCUCGAGCGUUAGGCGGAAUCACUGGGCUUAAAGCGUGUGUAGGCGGGUCGUUAAGUACCUUGUGAAAUCCCAUGGCUCAACCAUGGAACUGCUUGGUAUACUGGCGAUCUUGUGCAACCUAGGGGCGAGCGGAACAGAUGGUGGAGCGGUGAAAUGCGUAGAUAUCAUCUGGAACGCCAAUGGUGAAAACAGCUCGCUGGGGGUUUGCAGACGCUGAGACACGAAAAGCCAGGGGAGCGAACGGG
rnacentral:rRNA from 1 species